rnacentral:rRNA from 1 species
CCUACGGGAGGCAGCAGUGAGGAAUAUUGGUCAAUGGCCGAGAGGCUGAACCAGCCAAGUCGCGUGAGGGAAGACGGUCCUAUGGGUUGUAAACCUCUUUUGUCGGGGAGCAAAAAACGCGACGCGUGGCGUUCCGAGAGUACCCGAAGAAAAAGCAUCGGCUAACUCCGUGCCAGCAGCCGCGGUAAUACGGAGGAUGCGAGCGUUAUCCGGAUUUAUUGGGUUUAAAGGGGGUGUAGGCGGGAGUGCAAGUCAGAUGUGAAAACUAAGGGCUCAACCCAUUGCCUGCAUUUGAAACUGGGUUUCUUGAGUGGUGGAGAGGUAAGCGGAAUGCCGGGUGUAGCGGUGAAAUGCGUAGAUAUCCGGCAGAACACCAGUGGCGAAGGCGGAUUGCCGGACAGUAACUGACGCUGAGGCGCGAAAGCGUGGGGAGCAAACAGGAUUAGAUACCCGAGUAGUC